UACGGGGGGGGCAAGCGUUGUUCGGAAUUACUGGACGUAAAGGGCUCGUAGGCGGCCAACUAAGUCGGACGUGAAAUCCCCAGGCUCAACCUGGGAACUGCGUCCGAUACUGGAUGGCUUGAAUUCGGGAGAGGGAUGCAGAAUUCCAGGUGUAGCGGUGAAAUGCGUAGAUAUCUGGAGGAAUACCGGUGGCGAAGGCGGCAUCCUGGACCGACAUUGACGCUGAUGAGCGAAAGCCAGGGGAGCAAACGGG
rnacentral:rRNA from 1 species